UUGUUUGAAAAUGAUUUUUUACUCUUGAGUUGUGUUUUGAGAGAUAUUUGAGUCAACUUUGAGGCAAGUGUGUUCUGUUGGGUUUACACCCUUUUGGGGAUUUUGUGCUCUUACUACUUCUUAUCCACCAUUUUCAAUCAAACUUUGUUUCUUGUUAUCAUUUAAUAUUUAUUGUUGACUUGUUGUUAUAUUUAUUUGGUUGAUGAGUUCUAUUAGAUCAUGGCCAUGGUUGUUUAGAGUUGAUUAAAU
rnacentral:lncRNA from 1 species